UAAAUUGAAACCAAGUGCCUAGGUGCUUAGCUGUUAACUAAGUCAUAGUGAGAUAGAUACUCACCAAUUUAGU
rnacentral:tRNA from 1 species